rnacentral:rRNA from 1 species
GACGAACGCUGGCGGCGUGCUUAACACAUGCAAGUCGAACGGUGAAGCUCCAGCUUGCUGGAGUGGAUCAGUGGCGAACGGGUGAGUAACACGUGAGCAACCUGCCCCUGACUCUGGAAUAAGCGCUGGAAACGGCGUCUAAUACUGGAUACGAGAAGGGUCCGCAUGGGCACUUUCUGGAAAGUUUUUCGGUUGGGGAUGGGCUCGCGGCCUAUCAGCUUGUUGGUGAGGUAAUGGCUCACCAAGGCGACGACGGGUAGCCGGCCUGAGAGGGCGACCGGCCACACUGGGACUGAGACACGGCCCAGACUCCUACGGGAGGCAGCAGUGGGGAAUAUUGCACAAUGGGCGAAAGCCUGAUGCAGCGACGCCGCGUGAGGGAUGACGGCCUUCGGGUUGUAAACCUCUUUCAGCAUGGAAGAAGCGAAAGUGACGGUACCUGCAGAAGAAACACCGGCUAACUACGU